UACGUAGGGUGCGAGCGUUUGUCCGGAAUUAUUGGGCGUAAAGAGCUUGUAGGCGGUUUGUCGCGUCUGCUGUGAAAAUCCGGGGCUCAACCCCGGACUUGCAGUGGGUACGGGGCAGACUAGAGUGUGGUAGGGGAGACUGGAAUUCCUGGUGUAGCGGUGAAAUGCGCAGAUAUCAGGAGGAACACCGAUGGCGAAGGCAGGUCUCUGGGCCACUACUGACGCUGAGAAGCGAAAGCGUGGGGAGCAACAGG
rnacentral:rRNA from 1 species